CCCUCCUGGCUUUUAUCUGUAAUAUUAAGCAUGCCUCAACACUUCCUCCCAUAAAAGAGGACAAAUUGGCGAUUCAAAACGGUUUAUUCAUCAACAGCAAACAAAUUAAAAUAUUUUUAACAAUAAUGACAGCCCAACAAUAAAUUCAGAGACAGAAAAUCUAGCACAUGAGUCAAAACAGUUUUUUUCUUCAAAAGGAAUAAAAUAAUAUGAUAAUAAUAUAAAUAAAUAAAAUAAAAGAUAAGUUAUGCUCUUCAGUGCGUAGACAAAUGCAAUUCAGUAUAGCGACUUUGGUAUGUACUUCAAUAAUGCUUCAAUUUGGUCAACACAAAACAAUGAACAUUAGUAGAGAUUUGAUUUUGUUAAAAUUUAUGAAUAUAAUGAACAUUUGAAGGAUUUUACAGAAACAAAACAAUAUUUGUCACAUCAUUAAUUAGACAACAUAUAGAAAAAAAUAAUGAUAGCUAAAUGAUCACGUCAUCAUGAGUAUUUGCAUGAAAUCUUUUAAAGAAGUUAUUCUCCAUUUUAGAAAGCAAAUUCUUCAGAAGAAUCAGUGUUCUGACCUUGCACAAAUUAAUUCUUUGAAAGCCGCUGGAAUGGGACAAAUAACUGAAGUUACCCGAAGAAUGGCCGUUGUUGGAUGAUAAGCGUUAAUAAGCUCCUUAUAAAGAAACGGGAUAUACUAAUUAUCUUGUAAGGUAUUUCCACUGCUUUGUGCCAUGAACGGAUAACAAAUGUCAUAGCCUGCAAAAUGAUUUUGUGAAGCGAACAAUAAAUGGGAAAAUAUCAAUCGUA